AAAAAAAUUAAAAUUAUUCUAAAAACUAUGAAUCAGCAAAACUUUCAAAUUGAACUUUCAAUCAUAAAAAUUUUAGCACAAUAAUUUAUAAAUAUAUGUCUACUAUGUGGUCGUAUAAUGGCUAAUAUUUUGGUAUAUUUUCUUAAAAUAACAGUUUAUUAUCGCCAAUUUUGGCGCUUUUAAAAUAUUUCAAAUUGUUUUGUAAAUCAGAAUAAAUGGAAUUAAUAAUAAAUUCAAAUAGAUUAUAAGCCUGACGUAAUUCCUCUCAACUAUCGGCAAUAAGAUCGUCUUAUCGAUGCUAUUUUCGUCCUUCCAUGAACUUGUAAAAGCAAACAUUUGCAAGAGGAUCGCAUUUAUCGAAACUGGCCACACCAAAAAAAAAACCAUAGCAUUAAGAUGCGACAAUAAUUGUGAGAUGAAUCUUAGCUUAUAUUUUGGUAUAUUAUUCACUUGUUUGGAACAAGCCGGCUAAUAUUUGCUGCGUGUGCGGGCACAUUGUAAAAAUUGCUGUUUUUAAUAGAUAGACUUGAUUAUUUUAUUUCUUACAUUUAAAUUGAAAACAUGAAUGAAUCUGAAGUAAUGUAAGUUGACCAAAUGGAGUACGAUGUCUGCGGCGAACACACCUUCAGGAACUGCUUCACAUGGGCGCCAAACCAGAGUUAAAAUUAAUGACUAAAAGUGUGGGCAGCGUUCAUGAGACGUAUGGAAGUUGCUUUCUGCAAGAACAAUGAUAUGGGCCUCCCGAAACUGAACGUGUGCGUCUUGCAGAGCAACGCAAGGAUUAUAUACACCUUCACAAGCAACAUAAACAGUCAAUUAGGAAGCAAGUGAAUCAACCUGGAGAUGAGA